rnacentral:rRNA from 1 species
UAUCUCUGUAGAGUCUGCAUAUCAAUAAGCGGAGGAAAAGAAACUAACUAGGAUUCCCUUAGUAACGGCGAGUGAAGCGGGAAGAGCUCAAAUUUGAAAUCUUCAAGGUUUUACCUUGACGAAUUGUAGUUUAAAGAAGUGUUUUCGGUUGGAGUUUUGGUAAAAGUUCUUUGGAAUAGGACAUCAUAGAGGGUGAGAAUCCCGUAUUUGACCAUUAUCUUCCAACUGUGUGAUACACUUUCAAAGAGUCGGAUUGUUUGGGAAUGCAGUCCAAAAUGGGUGGUAAAUUUCAUCUAGAGCUAAAUAUUGGCGAGAGACCGAUAGCGAACAAGUACCGUGAGGGAAAGAUGAAAAGAACUUUGAAAAGAGAGUUAAACAGUACGUGAAAUUGUCAAAAGGGAAGCGUUUGACACCAGUGUUGUUUUCUCGAAAAUCAAUUAAAAAUAACUUUGAUUUUGUGUUGUAUUGACCUUAAAAGCUUUCUUCACUUUUUUCUUGUUAUUUUUAAUGCACUUUUCGUUUAACAAGUCAACAUCAGUUUCUUUUGUUGUAAAAAGGUCAUUGGAAGGUGGCUUUCUUUUCGGAGAAAGUGUUUAUAGCCUUUGACUCCUGCAAUCGGAGAGACUGAGGUCUGCAGCGUAGAUCCUUUUUUGGAUUAGAUUCAUUUGUGCUAAGUUAUAGCUUUUUAUAGACAACUUGUUGACUAUAUUUAGUCUUGUAGCUUACUCGCUUAUGCAAUUUUACCUACGCUUAGGAUGUUGAAUCUGUGCGAGACUAC